rnacentral:rRNA from 1 species
AACGAACGCUGGCGGCAUGCCUAACACAUGCAAGUCGAACGAGACCUUCGGGUCUAGUGGCGCACGGGUGCGUAACGCGUGGGAACCUGCCCUUAGGUUCGGCAUAACUCCCCGACAGGGGUGCUAAUACCGGAUAAUGUCUUCGGACCAAAGAUUUAUCGCCUUUGGAUGGGCCCGCGUUGGAUUAGCUAGUUGGUAGGGUAAAAGCCUACCAAGGCGACGAUCCAUAGCUGGUCUGAGAGGAUGAUCAGCCACACUGGGACUGAGACACGGCCCAGACUCCUACGGGAGGGAGCAGUGGGGAAUAUUGGACAAUGGGCGAAAGCCUGAUCCAGCAAGGCCGCGUGAGUGAUGAAGGCCGUAGGGUUGUAAAGCUCUUUUACCCGGGAUGAUAAUGACAGUACCGGGAGAAUAAGCUCCGGCUAACUACGUG